AAUCAACGCUGGCGGCGUGCCUAAUACAUGCAAGUCGAACGCGAAAGUCCCGCAAGGGAUCAGUAGAGUGGCAAACGGGUGAGUAACACGUGGGUGACCUGCCUUCGAGUGGGGGAUAACGUCCCGAAAGGGACACUAAUACCGCAUGACAUCCCGCCGUUGAAGAGGCGGCGAUCAAAGCUGGGGAUCGCAAGACCUAGCACUUGAAGAGGGGCCCGCGCCCGAUUAGCUAGUUGGUGAGGUAACGGCUCACCAAGGCAACGAUCGGUAGCCGGCCUGAGAGGGCGGACGGCCACACUGGGACUGAGACACGGCCCAGACUCCCACGGGAGGCAGCAGUAGGGAAUUUUGGACAAUGGGCGCAAGCCUGAUCCAGCCAUUCCGCGUGCGGGAUGAAGGCCCUCGGGUUGUAAACUGCUUUUGUACGGAACGAAAAGGCUCUGGUUAAUACCUGGGGCUCAUGACGGUACCGUAAGAAUAAGCACCGGCUAACUACGUGCCAGCAGCCGCCGUAA
rnacentral:rRNA from 1 species